rnacentral:rRNA from 1 species
GAUGAACGCUGGCGGCGUGCUUAACACAUGCAAGUCGAACGGAAAGGCUCCUGCUUGCAGGGGUACUCGAGUGGCGAACGGGUGAGUAACACGUGGGUGAUCUGCCCUGCACUUCGGGAUAAGCCUGGGAAACUGGGUCUAAUACCGGAUAGGACCACAUUUUGGAUGGUGUGGUGGAAAGUUUUUCGGUGUGGGAUGAGCUCGCGGCCUAUCAGCUUGUUGGUGGGGUAAUGGCCUACCAAGGCGUCGACGGGUAGCCGGCCUGAGUGGGUGUACGGCCACAUUGGGACUGAGAUACGGCCCAGACUCCUACGGGAGGCAGCAGUGGGGAAUAUUGCACAAUGGGCGCAAGCCUGAUGCAGCGACGCCGCGUGGGGUAUGACGGCCUUCGGGUUGUAAACUCCUUUCGCUAGGGACGAAGCGUUUUUGUGACGGUACCUGGAGAAGAAGCACCGGCUAACUACGUG